CAGCCGCCGCGGUAAUACGUAGGGCGCAAGCGUUGUCCGGAAUUAUUGGGCGUAAAGAGCUCGUAGGCGGUCUGUCGCGUCUGGUGUGAAAUCCCGAGGCUUAACCUCGGGCUUGCAUCGGGUACGGGCAGACUAGAGUGCGGUAGGGGAGACUGGAAUUCCUGGUGUAGCGGUGGAAUGCGCAGAUAUCAGGAGGAACACCGAUGGCGAAGGCAGGUCUCUGGGCCGCAACUGACGCUGAGGAGCGAAAGCAUGGGGAGCGAACAGGAUUAGAUACCCCUGUAGUCCCUGUCUCUUAUAC
rnacentral:rRNA from 1 species